rnacentral:rRNA from 1 species
AUACGUAGGUGACAAGCGUUAUCCGGAUUUACUGGGCGUAAAGGGCGUGUAGGCGGUCUUGCAAGUCAGAAGUGAAAUUCCUGAGCUCAACUCGGGCGCUGCUUCUGAAACUGCAGGACUUGAGUGCUGGAGGGGAUAGCGGAAUUCCUAGUGGAGCGGUAAAAUGCGCAGAUAUUAGGAAGAACACCGGUGGCGAAGGCGGCUAUCUGGACAGUAACUGACGCUGAGGCGCGAAAGCGUGGGGAGCAAACAGGAUUAGAUACCCGGGUAGUCCACGCCGUAAACGAUGAAUACUAGGUGUAGGGGGUAUCGACUCCCUCUGUGCCGCAGUUAACACAAUAAGCAUUCCGCCUGGGGAGUACGGCCGCAAGGUUGAAACUCAAAUGAAUUGACGGGG